rnacentral:rRNA from 1 species
AACGAACGCUGGCGGCAUGCCUAACACAUGCAAGUCGAACGAGACCUUCGGGUCUAGUGGCGCACGGGUGCGUAACGCGUGGGAACCUGCCCUUAGGUUCGGAAUAACUCCCCGAAAGGGGUGCUAAUACCGGAUAAUGUCCUCGGACCAAAGAUUUAUCGCCUUUGGAUGGGCCCGCGUUGGAUUAGCUAGUUGGUAGGGUAAAAGCCUACCAAGGCGACGAUCCAUAGCUGGUCUGAGAGGAUGAUCAGCCACACUGGGACUGAGACACGGCCCAGACUCCUACGGGAGGCAGCAGUGGGGAAUAUUGGACAAUGGGCGAAAGCCUGAUCCAGCAAUGCCGCGUGAGUGAUGAAGGCCUUAGGGUUGUAAAGCUCUUUUACCCGGGAUGAUAAUGACAGUACCGGGAGAAUAAGCGCCGGCUAACUCCGUG